GACGAACGCUGGCGGCGUGCUUAACACAUGCAAGUCGAACGGAAAGGCCCUGCUUUUGUGGGGUGCUCGAGUGGCGAACGGGUGAGUAACACGUGAGUAACCUGCCCUUGACUUUGGGAUAACUUCAGGAAACUGGGGCUAAUACCGGAUAGGAGCUCCUGCUGCAUGGUGGGGGUUGGAAAGUUUCGGCGGUUGGGGAUGGACUCGCGGCUUAUCAGCUUGUUGGUGUGGUAGUGGCUGACCAAGGCUUUGACGGGUAGCCGGCCUGAGAGGGUGACCGGCCACAUUGGGACUGAGAUACGGCCCAGACUCCUACGGGGGGCAGCAGUGGGGAAUAUUGCACAAUGGGCGGAAGCCUGAUGCAGCAACGCCGCGUGCGGGAUGACGGCCUUCGGGUUGUAAACCGCUUUCGCCUGUGACGAAGCGUGAGUGACGGUAAUGGGUAAAGAAGCACCGGCUAACUACGU
rnacentral:rRNA from 1 species